rnacentral:tRNA from 1 species
UGGGGUUUUGGAUCAGUGGUAGAGCAUUUGUCUCACAUGCAUGAGGCACUGAGUUUGAUCCUCAGCACCACAU